rnacentral:tRNA from 1 species
GCCUGGGUGGCUCAGUCGGUUGAGCGUCCGACUUCGGCUCAGUCAUGAUCUCAUGGUUUGUGGGUUUGAGCCCCGCGUCGGGCU